rnacentral:misc_RNA from 1 species
GAUGAAGAACGUAGCGAAAAGCGAUAAGUAAUGUGAAUUGCAGAAUUCAGUGAAUCAUCGAAUCUUUGAACGCACAUUGCGCCCUCUGGUAUUCCGGGGGGCAUGCCUGUUCGAGCGUCAUUACAACCCUCAAGCUUUGCUUGGUAUUGGACAUUGCCAGUUUCUGGCAGGUCUUAAAAUCAGUGGCGGUGCCAUUUGGCUUCAAGCGUAGUAAUUCUUCUCGCUUUGGAGAUCCAAGUGGUUACUUGCCAAUAACCCCCAAUUUUUUCAGGUUGACCUCGGAUCAGGUAGGGAUACCCGCUGAACUUAAGCAUAUCAAUAAGCGGAGGA